AUCCACUCUCCCACCUGCGCUGCGCCUCCUCGGUCUCUCCUUCCACCUCCACACCUACCGCGGCUCCUCUCGGUUCUUCCAAUCCAAUUAAGAAACAAACUACAACCAAGCAGAUACAGCACCGCGCGGCCGUCGUGGCGCCGGUGGUGCAUCCGCAGCCCGUGGUGGCGUGGUGCUGUGCUACUGCGCUACUCAUGCAUGCACGGUGGACGCUGCAUCGUCGUCACAAAGAGAUGACCUGAUCAAUCUCUCCUUUUGUAAUAAUUACAAUAAUUACCCUGCAUGUACGUA
rnacentral:lncRNA from 1 species